UUAUGGUGAGGUGCGUCUUAUGGAGCGAAAAAUACGGUAAAUACAAAAAAAAAAUUGUGAUACUUGCAAAUUUUAAAAGGGAUUUGUGAGAAAGAUAAUAGCUGUAUGUACUUUAAAAGUUAAUUUUAUUGGUGAGGGGAAUGCUGGCAUGAUGGGAGUCUUUUACUAUAUUUAUUUUUAUGGUAUUUGCAUGAGUAACGGG